UCCUGGAAUUUGUUUUAUCGUAAAUUAUUGCGGUUCUCGUUACAAGAAAUGAUUCAUAUCAAUCAGCUAAGCUCGACGUUCGGACCGAUCUAUUAUCACGAUAUUAGAACCAGCAAAAGUAAUGGUCACAACAGAUUAGUCUCAGUGGAACAUGACCGUUUUCGAAAACUGGCUGAUGCUGACAUUAGUUAUACAGUCGAAAGAACAUAACUUAUAGCAAUUUGUGGUUUUCGAUAAUCUCAGCCACUUGGUUAUUUUUAUCCGGAAAGUGUAAAAUAAAAUGGCCAUUUGUUCUUUUGUGCGCAUCAUAGCAUUUCAUUUAUAACUGUUCGUAAUACAUACAAAACUAGUAACAGAAAAAGCAGAUACAUUGAGUAAUAUUGUGGUUUCAAUAAACGAAUCACGUUUUCUAAGCUCAUCAGUCCCUCUAAUGAAAAAAAUCCCACAUAAAUUUUUGUCUGUUGGUUAAAUAGAGUUAUGUUGUUAAGAGCUGAUUAAUAAAAUCAAAUACUAAAAA